GAUGAACGCUGGCGGCGUGCUUAACACAUGCAAGUCGAACGAAGCACUUUAAUCGAUUUCUUCGGAUUGAAAUUUUAGUGACUGAGUGGCGGACGGGUGAGUAACGCGUGGGUAACCUGCCUCACACAGGGGAUAACAGUUGGAAACGGCUGCUAAUACCGCAUAAGCGCACAGUACCGCAUGGUACGGUGUGAAAAACUCCGGUGGUGUGAGAUGGACCCGCGUCUGAUUAGCUAGUUGGCAGGGCAGCGGUCUACCAAGGCGACGAUCAGUAGCCGACCUGAGAGGGUGACCGGCCACAUUGGGACUGAGACACGGCCCAAACUCCUACGGGAGGCAGCAGUGGGGAAUAUUGCACAAUGGGGGAAACCCUGAUGCAGCGACGCCGCGUGAGCGAAGAAGUAUUUCGGUAUGUAAAGCUCUAUCAGCAGGGAAGAAGAAAUGACGGUACCUGACUAAGAAGCACCGGCUAAAUACGUGCCAGCCGCCGCAGUAA
rnacentral:rRNA from 1 species